rnacentral:lncRNA from 1 species
GGCUUGAAUUAUAUAUAUAUAUAUAUAUAUAUACAUAUAUAUAUGUAUAUAUAUAUAUGCAUUAUCUUCUUUGAUCUUCACAAAGAUCUCCUGAUAUAGGUGCUGUUGGAUUUAUUUCCAUUUUUACAGGUAAAGAAACUGAGACUCAAAGAAUUUAAGGAACCUAUCCAGUGUUAUACAGAAAAAUAUGUUUGAAUCUGACAGGCAACAACAAAAUAUGAACAUUUCCAUAACUGAAGAACAGAGGAUAAUGAAACUGAAGCCCUGAAAGGUUAAGCUUUUUGCCAAAAUUCAAGUAGGCAGUAAGUAACCAAGAUGGGAUUUGAAUCUAGUUUCUCUAAAUCCAAGUCUAGAGCCUUUCUCCUCUAACCAUACUUCGAAUCUCCCAUAACAUCUAA